rnacentral:misc_RNA from 1 species
GAUGAAGAACGCAGCGAAAUGCGAUAAGUAAUGCGAAUUGUAGAAUUCAGUGAGUCAUCGAAUCUUUGAACGCACAUUGCGCCCUGUGGUAUUCCGCAGGGCAUGCCUGUUCGAGCGUCAUUUCAACCCUCAAGCUCUGCUUGGUGUUGGGCCCUGCCCGCUGCGGCCGGCCCUAAAGACAGUGGCGGUGCCGCCUGGCCCUGAGCGUAGUACAUCUCUCGCUCCAGUGCCCGGUGGUAGCCUGCCAGAACCCCAACUCUCGUGGUUGACCUCGGAUCAGGUAGGGAUACCCGCUGAACUUAAGCAUAUCAAUAAGCGGAGGA